rnacentral:miRNA from 1 species
CGGUCUGUCGCAGAACACGGCA